ensembl:lncRNA
AUCAGGUCUCAAGGAGCUUCUUCAAGGACCCUUCCAACCAUCAGAGUCUUUUCCAGGACUCCUCCAGAACCUCCAAGAUGUUGUCCAGGACCGCUCCAGCCUCAAACAGAGUCAACGGCUGGAAAGGGUCCUUGAGAAAGUAGCAAAGGUCCUUGAAGAAGUAGCAAAGGUCCUUGAGAAGGUAGCAAAGGUCCUUGAGAAGGUAGCAAAGGUCCUUGAGGAGGUAGCAAAGGUCCUUGGGAAGGUAGCAAAGGUCCUUGAGGAGGUAGCAAAAGUCCUUGAGGAGGUAGCAAAGGUCUUUGAGGAGGUAGCAAAGGUCCUUGGGAAGGUAGCAAAGGUCCUUAAGAAGGUAGCCAAAAUUCUUGAGGAGGUUCUGGGGCUCUUUUCCAGGUUCUUAUAGACCUUGACAGAUCCCAGAAAUUGGCGAGGAGGUUGACCCAGCAGCUGAAGAUGUUCCAGGAGACCUUGAGAGGGCAUCGAUGCUCUAAAUGAUCCUUGAGGAAGUUCCAGGCGACCUUGAAGAGCCUUUCCAGGACUCUUAUCCCUCCUAAAUAUACAUCAUCAAGGACCAUUGGAGUCUUCUCAUGGGUUGUUAGGACCUUCUCAAGGACCCUUGGAACCUCUUCACCUGAACCUCCUGAACACUGAUGUCUGGAACCUUGUCAGGGAUCCUGGAACCUUUCAAGGACUACAGAACCUCUUUACUUCCUCCUCAAGGACCCCUGGUGUCUCUGAAGGACACCUUGAACUCUUUGGGAACCCUGUCAAGGACCAUUCCAGUCCAGUCACUAAACUCUGGCACCUUCUCCAGGACCUCUGAGGCCUCCUCAGAGCAUCCCAUGGUGCUCAGGGUCUUUGAGAAUCCUCCAGGAUGUGUGUGUGUGUGUGUGUGUGUGUGUGUGUGUGUGUGUGUGUGUGUGUGUGUGUGUGUGUGUGUGUGUGUGUGUGUGUGUGUC